rnacentral:rRNA from 1 species
CCUACGGGAGGCUGCAGUGGGGGAUAUUGCACAAUGGGGGGAACCCUGAUGCAGCGACGCCGCGUGGGUGAAGGAGUGCUUCGGCAUGUAAAGUCCUAUCGGCAGGGAAGAAGCAAGACGGUACCUGACUAAGAAGCCCCGGCUAACUCCGUGCCAGAAGCCGCGGUAAAACGUAGGGGGCGAGCGUUAUCCGGAUUCACUGGGUGUAAAGGGAGCGUAGACGGCCAAGCAAGCCAGGGGUGAAAGCCCGGGGCCCAACCCCGGGACUGCCCGUGGAACUGCAUGGCUGGAGUGUGGGAGGGGCAGGCGGAAUUCCUGGUGUAGCGGUGAAAUGCGUAGAUAUCAGGAGGAACACCGGCGGCGAAGGCGGUCUGCUGGACCGCGACUGACGUUGAGGCUCGAAAGCGUGGGGAGCGAACAGGAUUAGAUACCCGAGUAGUC